rnacentral:rRNA from 1 species
GACGAACGCUGGCGGCGUGCCUAAUACAUGCAAGUCGAACGCUUUUUCUUUCACCGGAGCUUGCUCCACCGAAAGAAAAAGAGUGGCGAACGGGUGAGUAACACGUGGGUAACCUGCCCAUCAGAAGGGGAUAACACUUGGAAACAGGUGCUAAUACCGUAUAACACUAUUUUCCGCAUGGAAGAAAGUUGAAAGGCGCUUUUGCGUCACUGAUGGAUGGACCCGCGGUGCAUUAGCUAGUUGGUGAGGUAACGGCUCACCAAGGCAACGAUGCAUAGCGGACCUGAGAGGGUGAUCAGCCACACUGGGACUGAGACACGGCCCAGACUCCUACGGGGGGCAGCAGUAGGGAAUCUUCGGCAAUGGACGAAAGUCUGACCGAGCAACGCCGCGUGAGUGAAGAAGGUUUUCGGAUCGUAAAACUCUGUUGUUAGAGAAGAACAAGGAUGAGAGUAAAAUGUUCAUCCCUUGACGGUAUCUAACCAGAAAGCCACGGCUAACUACGUGCCAGCCGCCGCAGUAA